UUCCGGCCUCUGAUGUACUUCACUUUUGAGAAAGACAUGUCAUCUGGUUUGGAAGCUGCACUGAAAAUUCUGCUGACUUACAAGAAAGCCUGUUUCAUGUCGGUACUUUAAAGACAUAGCACUCAAAGGGUUUGAACGCUCCUUCUCUGAAAUACAUCUUGUUGUGGUCAGCCGAGAGGUGGCUAAAAGGGCAAAAAUUACCGCACAUCUCUCUCCGUUCAGAAGUUUGUUGAUGUUGGGUUUGGUAAGUGUCGUAUUAAACAGUCUGCCUGUCUACCCUCUCAAGCAGAUGUGAAAGCUACCAAUGCACCACCUCAAAGAAGACCUGCAGAGUCCCUGCGCAGGGUCCCGGGCCGAAAUCCACACUUAACCAACAUCACCAAAACGAAUUACCGGUCACCACCCACAUUACUGUCCAUGGGAGCCUGCUAUGUUGAGGAUAAUGAAUGGGAAACAAAGUAUUUGUGGAUGUUGAAGAGUAGCUGUUGUUACUUCAGAGAUUCAUACAAGGGCUGCUUCAGGCAAUUAAAACCAGUCCAGUGGUGGGUAAUUCCUGGCUGGAGUGGGCUUUUCAAUUUUGAUUGACCUGUCCUGCAAACUGCAGCAUUUCAUUUCUGACUUAAUGUUUCAUUGACCAUUGAGGUGGGGCUCUGAGACUUCUCUUUCCAAAAAAAAAAGUCUUCAAUCCUGACUACUUUGUGGGCAAAAUGAAAUGCCAAGAACACAAACAACUGGUACAGUUGCCAACUCUGGCUGGAUGCAUUUCAGAAGCUUUCCACCUCAUGAUCUCAUCCUGCUCCCAAGUGCCUCCCAUUGACCACCCAUCAUGGCACAAUGUCUUCUCACAACAAAUGGAAAACAAACAGCCUCUUCAUUUCCUGACUGGACAAUUAUUGACUAUCAGUCAAAUAGCUUUCCUCAUUCUCAUCAAUAAAACCUUGAUAACUAAUUAA